AGGAGUAAGAAAUUGGUGAACUUUUUGGUGUGUUCUUUGGUUCGAAGAAAAAGCAGAAGGAAGAAGUGUUUGAUUUCAUGUUUUUAACUGAAACUUCUUGUUGAUUAAAGUUUACAUCUACGUGUAAUUUCAAGGUCUGGCACGUGUGGAGAGUAAAGGGAAAGAAAAAAUAUGAAGGAGAUUAUGAUUGUUUUACAUCCAUGAAUUUUUGGAAGCUGUUAUUGUAUAUGUACUUGAGAACUUGUUAUAUUUGCAAAACAUGUAUUUGGUGUAAAUGAAAAUUUUGUAGCUACUUUUCUAUGUAGCAUUUUGUAUAUUUUGGAAUCAAUGUGUAUAUUUAUAUUUCAUGUUACAUGGAAUAUGUGGUUUUAUGCAAAUAUUGAUUUGGGGUG